rnacentral:tRNA from 1 species
GCUCAGGUGGUGGAAUUGGUAGACACGUACGCUUGAGGGGCGUAUGCCGAAAGGUGUAGGGGUUCGAGUCCCCUCCUGAGCACCA